AGUGAACGCUGGCGGUAGGCCUAACACAUGCAAGUCGAACGGCAGCACAGUAAGAGCUUGCUCUUACGGGUGGCGAGUGGCGGACGGGUGAGGAAUACAUCGGAAUCUACUUUUUCGUGGGGGAUAACGUAGGGAAACUUACGCUAAUACCGCAUACGACCUACGGGUGAAAGCAGGGGAUCUUCGGACCUUGCGCGAUUGAAUGAGCCGAUGUCGGAUUAGCUAGUUGGCGGGGUAAAGGCCCACCAAGGCGACGAUCCGUAGCUGGUCUGAGAGGAUGAUCAGCCACACUGGAACUGAGACACGGUCCAGACUCCUACGGGAGGCAGCAGUGGGGAAUAUUGGACAAUGGGCGCAAGCCUGACCCAGCCAUACCGCGUGGGUGAAGAAGGCCUUCGGGUUGUAAAGCCCUUUUGUUGGGAAAGAAAAGCAGCAGGUUAAUACCCCGCUGUUCGGACGGUACCCAAAGAAUAAGCACCGGCUAACUUCGU
rnacentral:rRNA from 1 species